UCGCUGAUGACGUCAUCGAGGAAGACUGCACAUUGCUGCUACUCAUGGAAUUCUGUUGCCUCACCGCGCCUGUCUUCCUUUGAUACCCGUGACAAGGAGAUGGAGCUGGCUUCUGCAGAUUGGUUCCAAUGUAUACGUCCUUGAGGUCUCCUGGGCAACACACGCUACAUGAUCGAACUUACUGCCACCUUCGCACUGCUUCGCUGAUGACGUCAUCGAGGAAGACUGCACAUUGCUGCUACUCAUGGAAUUCUGUUGCCUCACCGCGCCUGUCUUCCUUUGAUACCCGUGACAAGGAGAUGGAGCUGGCUUCUGCAGAUUGUUUCCAAUGUAUACGUC
rnacentral:lncRNA from 1 species